CACGUAGGGUGCGAGCGUUGUCCGGAAUUAUUGGGCGUAAAGAGCUCGUAGGCGGUGUGUCGCGUCGGCCGUGAAAACCCGUGGCUCAACCAUGUGGUCUGCAGUCGAUACGGGCAGGCUAGAAUUCGGUAGGGGAGACUGGAAUUCCUGGUGUAGCGGUGAAAUGCGCAGAUAUCAGGAGGAACACCGGUGGCGAAGGCGGGUCUCUGGGCCGAUAUUGACGCUGAGGAGCGAAAGCGUGGGGAGCGAACAGG
rnacentral:rRNA from 1 species